rnacentral:rRNA from 1 species
UGAUCCUACGGGGGGCAGCAGUGAGGAAUAUUGGUCAAUAGGCGGAAGCCUGAACCAGCCAAGUCGCGUGAGGGAAUAAGGCCCUACGGGUCGUAAACCUCUUUUGCCGGGGAGCAAGGGCGGGGACGUGUCCCGGCCCGGAGAGUACCCGGAGAAAAAGCAUCGGCUAACUCCGUGCCAGCAGCCGCGGUAAUACGGAGGAUGUGAGCGUUAUCCGGAUUUAUUGGGUUUAAAGGGUGCGUAGGCGGGCUUUUAAGUCAGCGGGAAAAGUUCGGGGCUCAACCACGGCCGGCCG